UACGUAGGAUGCAAGCGUUGUCCGGAAUUAUUGGGCGUAAAGAGCGCGCAGGCGGUCUAUCAAGUCAGAUGUGAAAUAUCCGGGCUUAACCCGGAGGGGUCAUUUGAAACUGGUAGACUAGAGUACAGCAGAGGAUAGCGGAAUUCCCGGUGUAGUGGUGAAAUGCGUAGAUAUCGGGAGGAACACCCGUAGCGAAGGCGGCACUCUGGGCCGGUACUGACGCUGAGGAGCGAAAGCGUGGGGAGCAAACAGG
rnacentral:rRNA from 1 species